UCCUACGGGAGGCAGCAGUGAGGAAUAUUGGUCAAUGGACGCAAGUCUGAACCAGCCAUCCCGCGUGCAGGAUGACGGCCCUAUGGGUUGUAAACUGCUUUUAUUUGCCAAGAAUGGUUACUACGUGUAGUGAUUUGACGGUAGCAAAUGAAUAAGGACCGGCUAACUCCGUGCCAGCAGCCGCGGUAAUACGGAGGGUCCAAGCGUUAUCCGGAUUCAUUGGGUUUAAAGGGUGCGCAGGCGGGCUUGUAAGUCAGUGGUGAAAUUCUGCAGCUUAACUGUAGAACUGCCAUUGAUACUGCAAGUCUUGAAUAUGGUUGAGGUAGGCGGAAUGUGUUGUGUAGCGGUGAAAUGCAUAGAUAUGACACAGAACGCCAAUUGCGAAGGCAGCUUACUAAGCCAUGAUUGACGCUGAGGCACGAAAGCGUGGGGAGCGAACAGGAUUAGAUACCCUGGUAGUCCAC
rnacentral:rRNA from 1 species